AGAGUUUGAUUAUGGCUCAGGAUGAACGCUAGCUACAGGCUUAACACAUGCAAGUCGAGGGGCAGCAUGAAGUUUGCUUGCAAACUUGAUGGCGACCGGCGCACGGGUGAGUAACGCGUAUCCAACCUUCCCCUUAGUAGGGCAUAGCCCGGCGAAAGUCGGAUUAAUACCCUAUGUUAUUCGUAGAGGACAUCUGAAAUGAAUCAAAGAUUUAUCGCUAAGGGAUGGGGAUGCGUCUGACUAGGUAGUCGGCGGGGUAACGGCCCACCGAGCCUACGAUCAGUAGGGGUUCUGAGAGGAAGGUCCCCCACAUUGGAACUGAGACACGGUCCAAACUCCUACGGGAGGCAGCAGUGAGGAAUAUUGGUCAAUGGACGAGAGUCUGAACCAGCCAAAGUAGCGUGCAGGAUGACGGCCCUAUGGGUUGUAAACUGCUUUUAUACGGGGAUAAAGUGAGGGACGUGUCCCUUUUUGUAGGUACCGUAUGAAUAAGGACCGGCUAAUUCCGUGCCAGCCGCGGC
rnacentral:rRNA from 1 species